ACGCCUUUUUCUCGCGUUGUUCGGAAUCACUGGGCGUAAAGCGCACGUAGGCGGACUUUCAAGUCAGGGGUGAAAUCCCGGGGCUCAACCUCGGAACUGCCUUUGAUACUGUCGGUCUCGAGUCCGGAAGAGGUGGGUGGAAUUCCUAGUGUAGAGGUGAAAUUCGUAGAUAUUAGGAAGAACACCGGUGGCGAAGGCGGCCCACUGGUCCGGUACUGACGCUGAGGUGCGAAAGCGUGGGGAGCAAACAG
rnacentral:rRNA from 1 species